rnacentral:sRNA from 1 species
CAACACUGCUGGAAUGGGGGGAAGGUAGGUUAUGAGCUGGUAAAAGUUGGAUGCUUUGGAGAGCUGUGGGAGUUAAUUCACUACUCGAUUCCGUGUCUGUAUAAUCAAAUUAUAUCAGCUCAUACGUCGAGGUCUCUGAAAUUUAAGGUGAGGAGAGAUGAACGUACUGUCAUCCACAUUUGCUAGCACCUUUUCACCCUUUGCCAUCCCGGAAUCAUUCUCGUAGUCGACACAAAAGGCGACAGAAGAAAGUUUCAAUACAGGCCGGUAAGGCUCACCGAACCCAUGGGAGGAUUCCAUCGUUAUAAUGAUGUCACAAAAUCCUUUCCGACCGCUCAACGGUUGAGUAAAUCUGGGCAAUCAAUAACAGGUGGGACAGCCGCGGUGCGAUUGAUAGAAUCAAAGGGGUCGGUUGAAGAAUAAAAGAGAGAUUACAAGGACUGUGAUCAUCACAGUCAGCAAUUGCUGCUUGAUAUUACUGCUGAAUAAUGGAUACGAUGGGAAGAUGAAGGAAGUUCAAAAGCAGGUCCUCGGCUAGAGCGGUACCCGUUGUGGACUCACGAAUAAAAUAAGAUGGAAGAUACGGUGGUGAAGAAGAAGCAGUGAUUUUCUGCGGAUCGAGCGGCGUUGGUCUACACCAGUCGAUUUCCGUUGCCGUCGAUUGGCCCCACCUUUGAGAAUCAAGAAGCUUGAAACGGUACGCUGUCGACGGUAAGCGCACCAGGAACCUAUAUCUGAUGUGCAAUGUAAAUGUUAC